rnacentral:rRNA from 1 species
CUUGUACACACCGCCCGUCACACCAUGGGAGUUGUCUCUACCUUAAGCCGGUGAGCCAAUCUGGCAGCCGACCACGGUAGGGGCAGUGACUGGGGUG